GUGAGGAAUAUUGGUCAAUGGGCGGGAGCCUGAACCAGCCAAGUCGCGUGAAGGAAGAAGGAUCUAUGGUUCGUAAACUUCUUUUGCAGGGGAAUAAAGUGCAGGACGUGUCCUGUUUUGUAUGUACCCUGAGAAUAAGGAUCGGCUAACUCCGUGCCAGCAGCCGCGGUAAUACGGAGGAUGCGAGCGUUAUCCGGAUUUAUUGGGUUUAAAGGGUGCGUAGGUGGUUUGAUAAGUCAGCGGUGAAAGUUUGCAGCUUAACUGUAAAAAUGCCGUUGAAACUGUCGGACUUGAGUGUAAAUGAGGUAGGCGGAAUGCGUGGUGUAGCGGUGAAAUGCAUAGAUAUCACGCAGAACUCCGAUUGCGAAGGCAGCUUACUAAGCUACAACUGACACUGAAGCACGAAAGCGUGGGGAUCAAACAGGAUUAGAUACCCGGGUAGUCC
rnacentral:rRNA from 1 species